AGCGAACGCUGGCGGCAGGCCUAACACAUGCAAGUCGAACGAACCUUUCGGGGUUAGUGGCGGACGGGGGAGUAACACGUGGGAACGUUCCUUUAGGUUCGGAAUAACUCAGGGAAACGUGUGCUAAUACCGAAUGUGCCCUUCGGGGGAAAGAUUAAUCGCCUUUAGAGCGGCCCGCGUCUGAUUAGCUAGUUGGUUGAGGUAAUGGCUCACCAAGGCGACGAUCAGUAGCUGGUCUGAGAGGCUGAUCAGCCACAUUGGGACUGAGACACGGCCCAAACUCCUACGGGAGGCAGCAGUGGGGAAUCUUGCGCAAUGGGCGAAAGCCUGACGGAGCCAUGCCGCGUGAAUGAUGAAGGUAUUAGGAUUGUAAAAUUCUUUCAACGGGGAAGAUAAUGACGGUACCCGGAGAAGAAGCCCCGGCUAACUUCGUG
rnacentral:rRNA from 1 species